rnacentral:rRNA from 1 species
UACGGAGGUUCCUAGCGUUGUUCGGAAUUACUGGGCGUAAAGGGAGCGCAGGCGGACAGGUCAGUCUAAAGUGGAAUCCCGGGGCUCAACCUCGGAAGUGCUUUGGAUACUGCUUGUCUUGAGUUCGUGAGAGGAAAGCGGAAUUCAGGGUGUAGCGGUGAAAUGCUUAGAUAUCCUGAGGAACACCGGUGGCGAAAGCGGCUUUCUGGUACGAAACUGACGCUGAGGCUCGAAAGCGUGGGGAGCGAACGGGAUUAGAUACCCCGGUAGUCCACGCCCUAAACGUUGUGCACUAGGUGUGGGAGGUAUCGACCCCUUCCGUGCCGCAGUUAACGCAUUAAGUGCACCGCCUGGGGAGUACGGUCGCAAGACUGAA